UCAAACGACGAUCCACUACUUAAUAAUUUCGUUUAAAAAAUAUUAACUUUAAUUGUUAGGAUAAUUUAUUUUAUUCAUUUAUAAUCCUUUUAAAAAUAUAUGCUUCCCGGUCAAUAUGGGGAGCCAAACGCAAUAUGAAUAAAUUAUAAAAUCAAUGGUUACAUGAUAACAACCAGUUCAACAGUUUUCACAUCAAGACUCAUAAUUUAGAGUAUUCCCACUAUUUGCCAAAAAAAAAACCCUCGGAUAAAAUUUCAAUUCUUCUCGUCCUUUAAUUCAAAAAACUCAAAGAAAAAGUUUUAUUUGUAUUACAAAUACAAAAUAUAAUAUACUAUAUUUCAAACUAAAUGUUUUCA
rnacentral:lncRNA from 1 species